rnacentral:lncRNA from 1 species
GACGUCAGCGCCGCCGCGGUGAUUUAACAGCUUUUGUUUUGGGCAGAAGAACCUAUGGGCACAAAAAGCAGGAACGAGUAGCGGUGGCUGAAGAACGAGCAGGAGCUUGAAUUUCAGUUUUCUUAUGAGGAAUUUUCCAGAAAAGAUAUCUUCACUGUGAAAUAACUAAAUAAAUGCCCACUCAGUACAGUCACUGUCUCCCUUUUGGAACUUGAUGGCACCUUAAGCCCAGGUUUGCCUCCACUCUAGAAACUCAUCAGAGUGAUGCCCUUCUCAAAUGGGGGAGGUCCCAAAGCGGAUAUCCUGGCAGUGUGAAAGGCCGGCUAAAGGUUUGUGCCAAGAGGAUCUGUGGAAUGCAUCUCCUACAGCUGGUGCUGCUGAGUAACCACUCUGAUCUGGCAUCUUCUUUGAUCAAGUUACAGAGCAGAGUUUCCAGGGCUGGGGAUUGAAGUCCUGCCUCCUCCCUUUGUCUCUGGUUGUCCUCGGUAAUGUUUUUCCCUCAAGCUUUCCCUGCACUCCAAACACAGAGCUGAGACUUCCACCUAAUGUAGAAAGCUAGCACGAGCCGGCGCUGACAGAUGGAAGACUUGAGAUGUUACAAGAUUAUAUAUGGAAACACAAAAGGGUCUCACUCUGUCACCCAGGCUGGAGUGCAGUGCUGUGAUCCUAGCUCACUGCAGCUUUGAUCUUCUGGGCCCAAGCAAUCCUCCCACCUCAGCCUCCUGAGUAGCUGGGACUCAAAGUGUGCCACCACACCUGAUUUUCUUUUUGGUAGAGAUGGGGACUCACUAUGUUGCCCAGGCUGGUCUCAAACUUUUGGCCUCAAGGGAUCCUCCCACCUUGGCCUCCGAAAGAGUUGGGAUUAUAGGCAUGAGCCAACAUGCAUGGUCAAAUGCUUUUUAAACUAGUAAUUCACCUGUGUAUGGUUAUGUCAAAGAAAAAUACAAGGUUGCAUACGCUUAGAGAAAGUAAGGAAGUAACCCAUUACAUGUAUGUUUGUAAAUUUUACUUAGGCCAUCAUUUUUUAUUUUCACCUUUGAAUUUCAAAGUAAAUUAGAGAUAUGUAAAUAACAGAAUUAUCAACAUUAAAAUCUUAUUCACAAUGGCUAACAAGAACAGGAUGACAGUCAAGUCAGUAGCUUUUUAAUAAAAUGAGCAGAAUCCCAUCGUAACAGUUCUUUGUUACAUGAAUUCAAAUACACAGCAGACCAAUCAUGUUCCCUGAAAUUUAACAAUCAAUCAUACUUAAUAAAGGCCUGUUAGUGCUGUCCCUCAAGACUCUAAUUCUAAAGGGCUUCCUUUGAAUUCCCUUUAUAAAGCUUUGUGCAAAGAAGAGCUUAAGCACCAGUAAGAAAGACUGUCGCUAGCAUUUUUAUUUCAUCAUCAACAACAAACAUGCAGUUUCUUUCUCUGAUGUGCAUGGCACUGUAAAAUGGGUGCUACACUCUCUCUUGUGGUACAAAGUUUAUAAAUACAGUAUACUGAUACAAAGUUGAAGCCAUUAAAAAGAGCUUAAUAACAACUAUGAGGAGAUAAUUAAAUCUGGAGUGUUGAUGGAAUCUAUGAAGAGAUUUAGAAACAAGACAUAAACACUACGGUAAAAGUUUUACUUGGGAAGGGGCCAGAGGGGAACUUUUUAUGUGCUACUGAAAGAUUUUUUAAGUUGCUCCAGAUUUACUUUCUUUCUGCUAUUAUCUUUAAAUACUGCAAAGCAUUGUGAGCUGCAUCACUUUGUGCAUUGCCACAGGAGAUACCGGAGCCAUGACAGACUGUGAUGGGGCUGGUGGACAGUUCAGCAAGACAUUGAUAUUGUCCAUUGGCGCUCAGUUCAUCUGUAAUGACACAUUCAAGGAUGACGAUUAAUGUCCAAUAUGUAUAAAGUGGAUCCCUUUGUAAAAACAA